AGCUUCCUGCAUCUGGAAGCACCUGGAGUGGUGAGUUCUAGUCUCUGUGUUGCCUGGAUUAUCCUUGUCUUCAACAGGGAUCUGGGGCCACUAUGGCCUCUGGAAUAGCAGACUCUGGGGACUUGGAACACUUCUUUCUUGAAGCCCAGAGAGGGUUUGAACAAGAAAGGUUAUUUUUGCUCAGUCCCAGCGCAUCGCUGAUGGGUGACUGUCAUGAGAAAGCAUGUUACACAGUAUUAUGGGAGCACAAGGGAAACAGCCUUGGACUACUUUACACUACCUGGGGGAAAAUUGGAAACAAUCCUUAGUGUAAACACACUCAGACUCAGGAGCGGAGCAAGACAGUUUCGAGAAGCGCUUUUUCCAUGACCCAUUUUCCUGUUUUUGCUGUCUGCUUUCUAGCACUUGAGUGGCUGAGUCCAUUUUUCAGUAUCUAGACUAUGCUUAACUUCUCCAAAAGUUGCUUCAUUUAUUACCAUGUAAAAGGAGCUGGUCUCUCUAUUUAGCCAAUGGCCUUUGCCUAUCUUCAGGUAUCAAAAAUGUCAUCCUUGUGUCUUUAGGAUGGUGGUUUGAGGCCUGGUUUCUUCAGGAAGCUUGUCUGGAGCUGGACAGUGGUCUUACUGCUAUUCCAGAGCCUCCCUGAGACCAAAUGCAGGGAGAUGCCCCACCCCCUUGGAAGUGCCGGCUCUCAGCCUUGGGGACAGCUGUUAGGAAGUGCCGCAGGGUAGGGUUGCCCCAGGGCUCAGUUGCCAUGUCAGUUUCGUACCAGAAGAUGCCAGUCCAGAUGUGCAUUUGGUGUAAAUUUACUGGCGGGUUGCUUUUGUCCUGUAUGCUGGUGGAGGAGUCUUUAAAGCACCUGGUGAUGCCGGGGACAUGGCUUAGAACAUGUGCCUGGUGUGUGGGACUCUGGGUUCCAGCCCAGUGAUUGGAAACGAAAAUCUCCAAUAUGCAUGGGGUCCUGUUCUGCCAUUCCCUGAGAGACGGCAUUAGUUUCUCAAGCAGUUAGCAUCAGUGCUCAGGUAAAAGUCUCAAGAGGCCCCAAGGGGAAUGCACAAAUGCACACUUAGAGGCUCUCAUCCCUGGAUAAAUGACUCAGUGGCUUCAGAGCUGAGAAGGAGGGCUUGCCCUCUUUCCAGUUUGGGGACAAAAUGGCAGAUGCUUGUCCCAGAGGCAAGGCUCCGGUGACUGAGCCAUCUUCUCCCAUUCCCUCAUCACGGAGACUGUCUUUACCCUCCUCUAGUGUUCCUGAGGUUCCAGACUUCUCCCAGCCACCGUGGCAGGUACCCCUCAUGUCAGGGACUGCCUCGUGCUGCUUUUCAUCUGAACCUUUACCCAGCAUGCAACGCAUGGCUCCUGCCUGGUGAGCCUCGUGGGCUGAGAAAGCCAAAGCACAGCCUCCAGCGUGUGGGUCCAAAUGCACGUGCCACAGUAGAGGAGCACCCUGCGCUUGGCGCCCCGUCUGGUGGGACCUACCGAUAUUCCAACCGUUGACACUUUUAUAUUUUCACUACAUUUUAUAUUUUUAUAGACUAUUUUAUAUUAAGGUUUUUCUAGAUCCUGUACAACUUUUAUAUAACAAGUUCUAUUUUGUGUGCACGACUCCCCUGUAUGUAUUUAUAUCAACCCGAGCCUCCCAGAUUGCAGGUCCCUCUUGUGCCACCUUUUCCUCUUAGCCUUGACUGUCCCUCUCCUCUGCUCACCCAGGUAGCCUCAGGGGCUACUUCUAGCCGUGAUAACACCCGAACAGCAGUCACUGGUCAGCAUGUACUUCUCUGGUGUUUGUUAGCUGUGGUCUGUUGAUACAGGAAGUACUCUGGGCAGUACCCAGUCAGGUUACCACACUAUGUUACCGCACAAACCCCUCUCCCUCAGUACAGUGGGUGUCCUGAUGCAGCGACCUCUGGGUGGGUGGCUGGUCAGGAAAGUCCUCGAAGACAGAGGCUAGAUGCAAGCCCGAUGUAUGAGGCUCUGCUCCUGUGGGCAACUAGGGGACUUGAGGGCACACUGCCAAAUGACUGUCCUUUCAUAUCACAGCAGCUUCCCUGCUCAUCCUUGAGUUAAAUGUAGACUUGUAAAGGAAGAAAUAAACUAAUUUUUAUU
rnacentral:lncRNA from 1 species